rnacentral:rRNA from 1 species
AGUGAACGCUGGCGGUAGGCCUAACACAUGCAAGUCGAACGGCAGCACAGUAAGAGCUUGCUCUUACGGGUGGCGAGUGGCGGACGGGUGAGGAAUACAUCGGAAUCUACUUUUUCGUGGGGGAUAACGUAGGGAAACUUACGCUAAUACCGCAUACGACCUACGGGUGAAAGCAGGGGAUCUUCGGACCUUGCGCGAUUGAAUGAGCCGAUGUCGGAUUAGCUAGUUGGCGGGGUAAAGGCCCACCAAGGCGACGAUCCGUAGCUGGUCUGAGAGGAUGAACAGCCACCCUUGGAAUUGAGAACGGUCCAAGCUCCCACGGGAGGGAGGAGUGGGGAAUAAUUGGCAAUGGGCGCAAACCUGAUCCCACCAAAACGCGGUGGUUAAGAAGGGCUUUGGGUUGGAAAAGCCUUUUGUUUGGGAAAGAAAAGCACCAGUUAAUUCCCCGGCGGUCUUACGGUUCCCAAAAAAAUAGCAACGGCUAACUUCGUG